rnacentral:lncRNA from 10 species
GAAAAACAGAAAAGAGUACAAAACAACUUAAUCUGGUUCAUACAUCUCCUCACUCUGCAGUCAGAUUGCCCUCUCACCCUCAGCAGGACCCCACAUCCCACAUUACUGGCAAAGUGAAGAGGAUUCAAGAUGGCAACAGUGCUCAAAGGGAAGGAAGAUAAUUAAAAUGGAAGACAGAGCCAUCAAAAACCAUGUGGAGGAAAGUCACUACAUGAGCCUAGACUGAAAGAAUGUACACAGGCAGAUAUAAAUGCCUAUUUCAUUUAACGUAUUUUGCUUAGGAUCUCCUUGUUAUAAAACCUUGGCUUUUGGUCAAAUAACACAGACCAGUAAGAAAUGAGGUUGGAAGAUGGGAAUAUUUAGGAGCAGUAGGAAUGGCUCUCCUGACACCAGUUCUUGAACUAUAAAUGUGUUUGGAUUCCCAGAGGUUUUUACACUCUACUAACAUUUAUGAUUUGUGAGAGAUACCCGUUCCCUGAGGGGCAUGCAUCAUGCACAGGAAAACCACAGGAUCUGCGAAAU